rnacentral:lncRNA from 1 species
UGAGUCAGAGUUAAGCUGAUGUGUAAAAAAAAGAAUAUUUUAAUUUUUGAAUUAAACAUUUAUUAUACAUUAAGGGGUACAAUUGUCAAAUCACGUUAUAUUAAAUAUUAAUACCAAUUAAAAACAAUAAAAGGCUAAAUAAAACAAACAAAUACGAAUCAAAUCUCUCCUCCCCCAACUUCGAUCAAAGCAAUCAAAGUCUAAAACCAUCAGAAAACUAGAGUACUCAACUAGAUUGGAUUAAGCAGAGGCAAGUGUAAGCUUGUCAGUUAAAGUGGGACAGAGUACAUAAAUCAGAUAAAGGGUGUAAAUCUGGAUCUGUUGAACAUCAUCACCACCACCGGAGGCCAUUCAAUCCACUGCCAUUCAAUCCAACCACCGGCGCCGAUUUUUUCGUACCCCACCCACUGUAUUCAAGGGAAAUUUACAUGGUGGGUUUCUCUGAUUUGAGAAGAGAGAGAGCAGCUCGGGACUUUCUUUUCUUUUUUUUCGCCGACGCCGACACUGUCCCUUCAUCCACUGUCCCAGCCCGACAAACUUCGAGUCUCCAACCUCCCCGUCAUCCGGAUCCGGACCCUCAAUUAACGUCGCAACAGACCCGACAUUGACGACCUGCUCCUCCCCGGACUUUUUGCACGCGACCUCGUCGGCGAUAAUCCCCGUACUACUUCUUCUUUCAAAGAUGAGAAAACCCCCUGUUUUUUCUCUAUUUCCUAAAACCCUAACAAAUCAAAUAUUGUAUAUAAACAACAUAAGAGUGGCGGUGCAUUGGAGAUCAUCCAAAUCUGAGAAUAAAAGGAACCUCAACUGAAAUUGCACCUUUUGAUUUGUGAAUAGGAGAUUGAGAGAAUGUGAGAUUGGGUUUGUAAAAGAGCAGACUUGUGACCUUUUGAUUUGUGAAUAGGAGAGAGAGUGAGAUUGUUUCUUAAUGUUUUUAAUCUGUUUGUUUUAUUUUAAUUAGAAAUGUUAAUUUAAGUUUUGACUAUUUUGCCCUUUAUUUAAAUAGAGUUAUUUAUUUAAUGAUUAAAAAAUAGUUUUUUUUGCCACAUAAGCUUUUUAAGGCC